GACGAACGCUGGCGGCGUGCUUAACACAUGCAAGUCGAACGGAAAGACCCUGCUUUUGUGGGGUGCUCGAGUGGCGAACGGGUGAGUAACACGUGAGUAACCUGCCCUUGACUUUGGGAUAACUUCAGGAAACUGGGGCUAAUACCGGAUAGGAGCUCCUGUUGCAUGGUGGGGGUUGGAAAGUUUCGGCGGUUGGGGAUGGACUCGCGGCUUAUCAGCUUGUUGGUGGGGUAGUGGCUUACCAAGGCUUUGACGGGUAGCCGGCCUGAGAGGGUGACCGGCCACAUUGGGACUGAGAUACGGCCCAGACUCCUACGGGAGGCAGCGGUGGGGAAUAUUGCACAGUGGGCGGAAGCCUGAUGCAGCGACGCCGCGUGCGGGAUGACGGCCUUCGGGUUGUAAACCGCUUUCGCCUGUGACGAAGCGUGAGUGACGGUAAAGGGUAAAGAAGCACCGGCUAACUACGUG
rnacentral:rRNA from 1 species